UAUUGUGGAGCUGAAAUUAGGCUGGAGCUUGCUGGGCAGCUUUAGGUUCUGCGUGGUGCUUAGCGUACCCCUGAUGCUUGGGCUCUUGAUGAAGGCGCUGUGGCUAGAAGUGCUGUAAACUUCAGGGAAGUGAACACCUGCUGGCCCUUCCUCUCGUUUUGUGUUGGGUAUUGUCUGCCUCCUGACUUACCUGAGGGUUUCACGGAUCCAUGCACAUGGCUCUGGACCUGGAAUAGAUCUUCAGAAUCUUUAAGACCUAGACUGGGAGAGAUGAGGCACCUCUAUAUAACCCUCCUACCACAUCAAAUUCAUCUGUAAACCAACAAAAAGUAAGUGGAGAAAAAUGAUGCUCAUGUAUUAACUGUUUACUAAUUUCUGU
rnacentral:lncRNA from 1 species